UGGGGAAUUUUGGACAAUGGGCGAAAGCCUGAUCCAGCAAUGCCGCGUGUGUGAAGAAGGCCUUCGGGUUGUAAAGCACUUUUUGUCCGGAAAGAAAUCCUUGGCUCUAAUACAGUCGGGGGAUGACGGUACCGGAAGAAUAAGCACCGGCUAACUACGUGCCAGCAGCCGCGGUAAUACGUAGGGUGCAAGCGUUAAUCGGAAUUACUGGGCGUAAAGCGUGCGCAGGCGGUUUGCUAAGACCGAUGUGAAAUCCCCGGGCGUCAACCUGGGAACUGCAUUGGUGACUGGCAGGCUAGAGUAUGGCAGAGGGGGUAGAAUUCCACGUGUAGCAGUGAAAUGCGUAGAGAUGUGGAGGAAUACCGAUGGCGAAGGCAGCCCCC
rnacentral:rRNA from 1 species